rnacentral:rRNA from 1 species
GAUGAACGCUGGCGGCGUGCCUAACACAUGCAAGUCGAGCGGCAGCGCGGGGUGCUUGCCCCCUGCCGGCGAGCGGCGGACGGCUGAGUAACGCGUGGGAACGUGCCCCAAAGUGAGGAAUAACUGCCCGAAAGGGUAGCUAAUACCGCAUAUUAUCUUCGGAUCAAAGGAUUUAUCCGCUUUGGGAGCGGCUCGCGUCGGAUUAGGUAGUUGGUGAGGUAAUGGCUCACCAAGCCGACGAUCCGUAGCUGGUCUGAGAGGAUGACCAGCCAGACCGGAACUGAGACACGGUCCAGACUCCUACGGGAGGCAGCAGUGAGGAAUCUUCCACAAUGGGCGAAAGCCUGAUGGAGCAACGCCGCGUGCAGGACGAAGGCCGUCGGGUUGUAAACUGCUUUUAUAAGUGAGGAAUAUGACGGUAACUUAUGAAUAAGGAUCGGCUAACUACGUG